rnacentral:snoRNA from 1 species
CAGUUCAUGGAGACUGAUGUGAUUGCAAUUAUUGGCCCACAGUGCUCAACAAUUGCACAUAUCGUUUCAUAUGUAGCAAAUGAGCUCCGAGUCCCUCUUAUGUCCUUUGCAUCUGAUGCAACUU